UACGGAGGGUGCAAGCGUUAUCCGGAUUCACUGGGUUUAAAGGGUGCGUAGGCGGACAGGUAAGUCAGUGGUGAAAUCUCCGAGCUUAACUCGGAAACUGCCUUUGAUACUCUCUGUCUUGAAUAUGGUGGAGGUAAGCGGAAUAUGUCAUGUAGCGGUGAAAUGCUUAGAGAUGACAUAGAACACCUAUUGCGAAGGCAGCUUACUACGCCUAUAUUGACGCUGAGGCACGAAGGCGUGGGGAUCAAACAGG
rnacentral:rRNA from 1 species